UGGGGAAUAUUGGACAAUGGGCGAAAGCCUGAUCCAGCAAUGCCGCGUGAGUGAUGAAGGCCUUAGGGUUGUAAAGCUCUUUCGGCGGGGACGAUGAUGACGGUACCCGCAGAAGAAGCCCCGGCUAACUUCGUGCCAGCAGCCGCGGUAAUACGAAGGGGGCUAGCGUUGUUCGGAAUUACUGGGCGUAAAGCGCACGUAGGCGGCUCGUUAAAUUAGAAGUGAAAGCCCUGGGCUCAACCCGGGAAUUGCUUUUAAGACUGGCGAGCUUGAAUCCAGAAGAGGGUAGCGGAAUUCCCAGUGUAGAGGUGAAAUUCGUAGAUAUUGGGAAGAACACCGGUGGCGAAGGCGGCUACCUGGUCUGGUAUUGACGCUGAUGUGCGAAAGCGUGGGGAGCAAACAGGAUUAGAUACCCCCGUAGUCC
rnacentral:rRNA from 1 species